CAUCAAUGGACCAGAUUGUCAUUAGAAAUCUGAAAAUGUGUUCUAAUCGACAUGCAUUGGUUUCAUUUCCUUUUUCUGGAUUUGCAGUUUUUUAUGAUGGGCGUUUGAUUCUCAAGUUGAAUGUCUGAUAUCAGGUUUUUUCGUUGAUAAACCAUACUAAUUUUAAGUUAAAUAUGGUGGUCUUUUCAUCCUUUGGGCUCUUGGGAAUAAUGAGUUUUAUUUCUAAAUUCCUAUUCUUUACUUAGUAUUUCUGACUGAUGCAUGAGACUUGACAUUGGAAAUCCUAGAUGAUCAUAUUCCUUUCUAUCUCAUUACUGACGAGGUGAGAGAGCAUUGUCCUACUAGCUAGAUGCUUUUAGCCAUGGUCCAUGCAAAGCAGGACCAGAUUAGGUGGAUGGUCCCAAUCCAGGGUCUCCCUUCUACAUAUACAGAGGUGGAAUCAACUGCCAUUCAUAGGCAAUUUUACAGAGAGUGGCAGAUCCGUGUAGCAAAUGGAGAACCUCUUCCCUUGACUCAGUUACAAGUGCCUUUAUAAGGUAAUUGCUAUCAAAGAAGCAAUACUUGACAUUAGACAUGAGCUAGAAAAGUAUGCUACAUGAUAUGUUAAUUUGAAUCAAUUAACCAUUCCUCACUAGAAUUGUUCGGAAUUCCACAUCAACUUUUAUUUCACUUUUUGUUUGAUAUGACUUGGCUUCUAGCAUUGUCAGACCUGAUUUUACUUGCUUUUCCCUUUUUUGGUGCCUACUUUUCUUGCACAUGGUUGCAAGUUUCAUCAUUAUUGAAUAAGAAGCAAUUACAAGUUAACAAGAUAUCAUAAUCAUCAAAGAAUGCAUGAAAUGAUCCCAAUUUUCAGAAAUUUACUAAAAACCAAUCUUAUUUCAUUUUCAGCCAUAACUCCAUUCAGAAUUAUCACAACACAACAGCUCACAUCAUCCAGAUAAUUAUUCUACUUGACUGUCGUGGGCAUAACAUCAUUGAGGGGUAUUCAAUUCAUCAAUCAACAAAGCAGUUGCCUCGUGUUGAUGGGUUCAAGUUGUCUGCAAAAUUGAACAAUGGUGUUACAGCUACCGGCUUAGUUUUAACUGUGAUGCAAAUGUUGAGGAAGCAUAGGGUUGUUGGCAAGUUUGUUGAGUUUUAUGGUGGGGGCAUGGGUGAAUUAUCAUUGGCUGAUAGGGCUACUAUUGCUAAUAUGUCUCCUGAAUAUGGAGCAACCAUGGGUUUCUUUCCUGUAGAUCAUGUCACUCUACAAUAUCUCAAGCUAACAAGACGAAGUGACGAAACUGUAAGUAUUGUACUUGUGAAUGUUUUGACUGGGGAAUGGGGGGAUUAGAAAUUUGGUUGAUGAGGAAACCACCCUCUUAUAUACCAGGUGGCAAUGAUAGAAGCCUAUUUGAGAGCAAACAACAUGUUCGUUUAGGUCACUACAACGAUGUAUACAUCUUUCUUAACCAUUCAGUUUUAAUUGAGCAUUUGACUCUGAAAUGUAAUUGAUUUCUUUUUGUGGAUCCAGCCUAAAAAAGAGAGUAUAUUCAUCUUAUCUAGAGCUGGACCUUGCAGAUGUUGAACCCUGCAUCUCAGGUCCAAAGCAGUAUGUUCGUGUUAGUUUAAUCCAUGUGCUAUAUUCACUCAGUUGUUGAAUCAUUAUAUUCAAGUUGGAGAUAUUGCAGGAAAGGUAUUUUAUUUGGGU